rnacentral:lncRNA from 10 species
CCAGAGACUCAAAGUAAAUUUUCUCUUCGGCAAAUCAGAAGGCUCUGCAUAAAUGCUGCCAAUUGUUAAACAUUUACCUGCACAUACUGGGCUCAUCUUCAUUAUUGGUAAAAUGAGCUAGAUGCUAUUUUCCAUUAGCUCACACUCCAAUUCCAAUCGACCUGACCAUCAGAAGAGACAAAAAGGGAAAAUCCUGGCCAGUUCUCCCCUACCUGAUCAACCAGUAGCAUAAUCAGAUUUGCAAGACCUCAAGAAAAGAAACCUGAAAAUGCCACUGGAGGUGUGUGUUUUGCCAAAGAAAAAAGAAUCAAAAACAAAACCUGCAGGAUGAGGACAAACAAACAAAGAGCAGGGACAGAGUCUCACUAUGUUGACACCCUGGACAACACUCUUGAAGUACUCUUUGGCUCAGCCAUGAACCUUGUGAUGGAUGAGGAAAAGAUAUUCUUUUUCUCCCCUUACAGUUUCUGGCAGCCAACAUGGGGUGGCUGUGACACCCCACUAGUUCCAGAACCUGCAGAUGAGAUCCUGGGACAACCAAUAAAAAAACAACAAAAAGUUAAGGAGCUGCUUCCACCUGUCUCCUGUGCCCUUGGUUUCUGCUAAUCCUACAUUCCAAGAAUAAAAGUCUUCCUAUGCGUUCCUAGGCAGAAGCCAAGUUUCCCUGCUUUGGGCACGUUCAAAAUAGAAGGUAUUUUCCGCUUCUCUUGCUUCUGAGCACCCACGAAAUCAACACAUCCCCAAAACACGCGUUGAGGGAGUAAGGGAAAGUGUCCUGCACCCGCCACCCUCCCGCGCUAAGAGCGGCAGAGGACCCCACAGCUUCGUACUUCCCCGGAGGAGCUCCUGGAGUAGGAGACGGCUUCUAGCCUGGAAGAACCCCGGGUGCGACAGUUGUGCCAGGAAACUUCAAGAGUAUUCCCUCGGCUGGGCGCACGCAGUACAUCCCCAAUGCUCCAAUUUGAACUUUGACUCGGCCACGACCACCCCACUCCAGUCUCACUCUACGGUGCUUUCUCCCCUGUUGGUGCUGAGGGCUUUUGAGACUACCUGCCCCGCGCUCCCUAAGUCCGAGGGACCGAGGCGAGGACCUGUCCCGCUGAGCUGGCACGACCCACGCAGGGCAGGCGGCACUUACGCGGCGCAGUCGGUGCUCCUCCCUGAGCCGCGGCGCGCAAGGACCCCAGCCGGUUGUCCUUGCAGCGCUUCCCAAAUCAGGCAGAAGUGAGGCAGCCCCACCCAGUCACGAGGACCCUGCAGAACUCGAGCCUUUAAGCGCUCCUCUAGGCUCACAUGACCCAGACCCACAGGGCAAAAAGUGCGUCGUCGUGUCCCAACCUCCUGGUCCCAGAAACCUGGCCGCAUCAAGUCAGCGCUUCCCAUGCUGGAAGAAGCAAGCAGCCCCA